GACGAACGCUGGCGGCGUGCUUAACACAUGCAAGUCGAACGGAAAGGCCCUGCUUUUGUGGGGUGCUCGAGUGGCGAACGGGUGAGUAACACGUGAGUAACCUGCCCUUGACUUUGGGAUAACUUCAGGAAACUGGGGCUAAUACCGGAUAGGAGCUCCUGCUGCAUGGUGGGGGUUGGAAAGUUUCGGCGGUUGGGGAUGGACUCGCGGCUUAUCAGCUUGUUGGUGGGGUAGUGGCUUACCAAGGCUUUGACGGGUAGCCGGCCUGAGAGGGUGACCGGCCAAAUUGGGACUGAGAUACGGCCAAGACUCCAACGGGAGGCAGCAGUGGGGAAUAUUGCACAAUGGGCGGAAGCCUGAUGCAGCAACGCCGCGUGCGGGAUGACGGCCUUCGGGUUGUAAACCGCUUUCGCCUGUGACGAAGCGUGAGUGACGGUAAUGGGUAAAGAAGCACCGGCUAACUACGUG
rnacentral:rRNA from 1 species